rnacentral:lncRNA from 1 species
GGUUUCGGUUAAAACUGGGGUCGGUUAGGUCUGCGGGCCCGGAAAGGGUUCUGUUCUUAAAGGGACCGCAGGAUGAAAGCCCGGGCGCUUGGCUGCUUCUGGAGCAUCUGGUCUUUUGCUUUCUGAUCCUGUGCGUUGUAAAAUCAGCGAGAAGAGGAUAAGGGAUCGACCGCGGGCUUUACUUGGGAAGAUUUACGUAGAUGCCGUCUAGGAUCCAAGAACCACAGACAGGAGUUACAGGGUAGGAAAGUGAUUGGCUAGUUGUAGCUGGGGAAUAAGAUGAGUUAAAAAUGUAAGAAGGUUUGAUUAAAAAAAAGCCAAACAACUCUAUUACUGGGGCGUCGAUAAGGACGUGGAAAGCACGAAUCUAUAAAAGCAAGUUACUUUGGUUGUGAGAACCAAAUUUCUUAGGUUUCAGGAACUCUGUUUAAACAAAAUUGGGGAGCUUUACAAAAUGGAAUGGCCACAGAUAGCUACCAUGUUUGAUUGUUGCCUUUGGUUGUCAGAGCUGUCCGAAAUAAUCAGUAGGUGAUAUUUUUAAAUUUUUGCUAGAAAAUGAUGUCUACUGAUGGAAAUUCGUUAUAAAGUCCUGUAACUUUAAUAAAAUAAAAUAACACAAGUUG